AUGGACAGUGGCAACGACGGCAACGAUAAUGGUGGCGGCGGGAUCCUAGAGGGGUACAGGCUUUGGAUGGGCGCGAGCGUGGCCGCGGCGUUCUUCAUCUCCAUGGAACGGUUCUCCUGCAUUCACAUCCACACCGUGGACGACGAGGAUGACUACGACCCUGAGGAGGCCAAGGAUCGCCCCCUCAUGCUCUCCCGCCCCCAGGCCCUCUCCGAGUACUACUACGACCGAUCUGGGUCCUCCGCCUCCUUCACCAAGAUGUGA
rnacentral:rRNA from 1 species